GGGGCCCGGCCCCACGGCAGGAGCCGCCCGGCCCGCCCCGGCCCAGACGGGGGCUGGGCCGGCCUUGGCACCUCUUUGCUGGCCAGAAGGGAAAGAGACCCAGCCAGGCUUCUUCCUCUUUAACUUGUGUCUUCACAGAGGCGUGUGCAGUUUCCUUAGUGGUUUAACAGAUUGUCAGUUCUCAAAGCUAAUUACUGAUUGUUUUUUUGUCAGACACAGAGGAAACUGCUAGCAGUUUCUCUCAGGACAUCACUUCCGUGAUGCAAAACCACCACAACAGCACAGAGCACAGAGCUCCUUUGUCCAUAUGUAGUGGUCAUGGGCCCAAGGCAUCAGAACCCCACCUUGGGAGAUCUCUGGGUGCUCUCCAAGGUGUUUUCAAAUGAAAACAUUCAGCUCGUAGUCUAAGAAAAUGACCAGAGGACAGGGCCUGCCUGACCUGUCUGUCCUGGCUACUUUUGUUAUAUCCUUGCAAUCCUUGGGUAUACAGAAUUUCGGAGGCCAAAUUCUAAUUUUUGCCAUGGUCUUUGGCAAGAAGGCUGUUUUCUUUUUCAUAGGAAGUAAGGAACAGAGCCUCAGUGCUUCAGGGGAAAAUGAGAGGUGACCCCUGGAGGCUAAGACCAGCCAGAGCUGGCAGAUUUUGUUCUGAGAGAUACCCUUGAAUAUAGGAAAAUUUUUAUGGAGGGUAACAAUUUUGGCAAUGGGCAUCUGAAAAGACAGACAGUUCUUUUCCAUAGCAAGGAAAGCAUGAAGCCCCAGUGCUCCAGGAGCUGAUGAGAGGCAGCCCUUGGCAUUCCAAGAUCAGCCAGACCUGUCAGGUGGCCCCUGGGAGGCCAAGCCAGCCAGACCUGUUCCAUGUACCCUCGGUUCCAUGGGGCCCCACAGUGUCCCAAUGGUCCCUUGCUCCCAGGAGGCCCUGAGGUGUCACAAUGCCCCCUUGGUGACACGAGGCCCUGAAGGGUCCUCAUGGUCUCCAUGGUUCCAUCAGGCCCCACAGAGUCAUGAUGAUCUCUGGGUCCAUGAAGCCCCGCUGUGUCACCAUGGCCCCUUGGUUCCAUGGGCUCCAGUGGUGCCACAAUGAUCCCAUUGGUUCCAUGAGGUGCCCACAGUGUCACAGGGAUCUCCAUGGGAAGGAAAGAACCAAGCCCCAGUGUGGCAGGGGCAGCCACCAGAGGCCAAGGCCAGCCAGACUUGAUGGUUCUGGCAGAUUUUGCCUGGGAGCAACCCUUGGAUACAGGGAAUUUUGGAGGUGGAAUCCCAAUUUCAGACAUGGACAUCUGGUGGAGGAGAAGGAGAUUUCUGUUCCAUAGGAAGGAAAGCACAGAACACCGGUGCUUGAGGGGCAGAUGAAAGGCGGCCAUCAGAGGCCUAAGGCAGCCAGCCCUCUCUGUCCUGGUAGCUUUUGUCUGAAGGCAGCCCUUGGAUAUAGGGAAUUUGGGAGGUGGAACCCCAAUUUCGGCCAUUUCUGUGUAGAUAAGAAGGACGGUUCUUUCCGUGGGAAGGAAAGCACAGAGACCAAGAAUUUCAAAGGCCGAAGAGAACAGAGGUGGCUCCUGGGAGGCCAAGCGAGCCAGACCUGUUUGUCCUGGCAGCUUUUGUCAUGGAGGAAACCUUGGAUACAUGGAAUUUGGUAGGAGGAAUCUCAAUUUUGACCAUGGAUAACUUGAGAAGAAGAACGGUUCUUUUUCAUUGGAAGGAAAGCACCGUGCCCCAGUGUUUGGAAAGCAGGGUCCUGGACUCAGCCCCAAAUCGCCUGUGGGGACCAUCAAAAUACAGAAAGCCUUUAGGGGCACCUUGUCUUCCUCAAUGGUCUUCAAAUCUCCAAGCCUUGUGAAGCUGAUUGGAGUCAGUCUCAAACUGGAUUAAGGAAGAAGAUUUCAAAGUGCACCUCAUGACUUCUUUUCUUUAAUCAAGUGAGUAUUUUUUUAUUUUCCAGUUCAGAGAAGAGCUGAUAGAAGCAUUCCCCAGGUGAUCUUGAUGCUGAAGGUCUCCUUAGGAGGUCUGGGCAUGUAGAAGAAUUAGCCCCUUGAGGGCUGACCCUGUUUGGACAAGCUGCUCCUCAGCCCCAGCCUCACCAUGUCUGACAUGGCCCACCUGGCACUGACAUCCCUGUGCCCUGCAGCAGAACCUGGUCCCUGAGCUCUGCAGCUCCAUGUCCCAGCCCACUGCACUGUGUCCCACCUGCUCUCCUCAGGGCUCUGCCUGCACACAGGCCCAGGAGAAGUUUUCCUCUUGGGAAGGAAAGAAUGGAAAAGCCUGAGCAGGUUUCCUGAACAACAAACCCCACUCAGGAAGCACCUGCUCAGUACAGGCUGCCUGGAAUGGUGCCACCUUUCUACAAGGGACAGUGUGGCCAGAAAUGAUCUCUGGAAGCAGAAUUCUCUGAGUCUCCCAGCUGGAUUCUCUGUCCCUGUCCUUUCCCUGGAUCUCUGUUGCAGAUGGAAGCGUCUGGGGCCAUCCUCACCUUCAAGCUCUCUUUUGAAUGCAAACAGAUGUUCCCAGCUGUGUUAAGCAGGAUUUGCUCCAUGUUUCUAUAAAUCUUUUGUGUUCCCCAUGGAACAAAGGGGCCAUUUUGGCACUGAGGGGGUGACGUGGAAGCAAGGAGUCAAUUGUGACGCUGGGGUCCCAUGGAAGCAAGGGGCCAUGGUGACACAGCAGGGCCACGUGGAUCCAGUGGUCCAUUGUGACACUGUGGAUCCAAGGAGACCAUGGAGACACCCCCAGAACCUCAUGGAACCAAGGAGCCCACGGUGACCCAGAGGGGCUGCAUGGAGCCAAUGGCCCAUGGUGACACUGCCCAUCCAAGGAGGCCAUUUGGACACUGGGGAAGCUCAUGGAGCCAGGUGUUUUUAUGGGAUGAAGAUAGAUCAGAAGAAUAUUAGGGCCAAACCAAAAUGAUAACCA